UACGGAGGAUCCAAGCGUUAUCCGGAUUUAUUGGGUUUAAAGGGUGCGUAGGUGGCUUUUUAAGUCAGGGGUGAAAGACGGUAGCUUAACUAUCGCAGUGCCUUUGAUACUGAAGAGCUUGAAUGAACUAGAGGUAGGCGGAAUGUGACAAGUAGCGGUGAAAUGCAUAGAUAUGUCACAGAACACCAAUUGCGAAGGCAGCUUACUAUGGUUUUAUUGACACUGAGGCACGAAAGCGUGGGGAGUCAAACAGG
rnacentral:rRNA from 1 species